ensembl:lncRNA
UGCUUGCUGUUUUGGGUUUUAGGCUGGGUGUCUGUACAGCACUUCAGCACAUUAGCACAUCAGCUGAUGUAAGAAGGGCUAUAUAAAUACAUUUGAUUUGAUUUGCUUCCCGUAGCAUUGAAUACAAGGGAAGCCAGCGUGCAUUUGGCCUCCCUUGAUAAAAACAAUAGUCAAUCAGCAUUGAGCUCAACUGUGAAUGGUCCCGAUUCACCCCCCCCAAAAACCGUCAAUGGAAGCCAGUUUGGAUUUGGCUUCACACCAAUCACAUCACGAACACAGCCAAACGACAGUGACAGAAAAAAACUUGAAUUGUUGCAUCUCGUUGUUGUCUUCCUCCGGUGUCUAGCUUGCUAGCGAAAAUUGUCCUGUUCCUAAAUUAACAAAGGAUGGAGAUAGGGAUUUGGACUUGUGGUUCUUACUAAAUUCUCUGUACUGGCCAAUGAUAAUAAAGGCGAUUCUGAUCCAACCAUAAAUUCAUACAUUCUGCAUGCCCCUGGCCUGAAAGGAUGGAAGUUCAAUAUAUAGAUAGAUAUAGUAGGCUAAUGUUAACUUGCUGGUUCAUCAUUGCCCAUGAAAGGAAGUUAGGCUAGCGAGCAAGCAUUUUAGCUAGGACAACAAAAACUAAACGUGUGUUGCCUACAGUAUGAUCGCCAUAGACCGUUUCGGCGACAUGAAAGAGAGGAGGAUGGCAUUGGCGUUUCUCUACAAGUAGGCCCCUGUCAACCAUUGUUGAGGAAUACACACCUACUGUCUCUAUGGCAACCACUCUGAUUUGGCUGGAGUGGAGUUGGCUGGUGCACAGAGCUCUUGAACGAAGGCCAACCCAUACCGCCACACCUGGGAAAUACAUUGACUCCUCACAUACAUUUCCAGAUGUGAGUUACUAUUUGAGAGACUUGUGAUCUCUCAUUGGACUGUCCACCAAUAAAAAGCUGUAUAAGCGUGAGUGAGAUGCAUGAUUUCAAAUAAUUUGCAUAUGGAAGUAUGGCUGUGAAUUUAUCGGAUCGAAGUCUAUAAUGCUUAAAAUAAAAUAAAAUUGUAUUAGUCACAUACACAUGUUUAGCAGAUGUUAUUGCAAGUGUAGCGAAAUGCUUGUUUCUCU